UCUUGGCUUAUUGUUGAUUCUAGUUUGCUCACAAUAACACCUACAAUUUAACCCAUGUUAAAAAUAAUUCUACGCUCCUAUUAUAAAUGUGUUUUAAUUAUAACUUAAGAAACUUAGACUUAGUGUCCUGAGGAUGACUUAAUAUAAGUCGAAACGUCGACAUUUAGGUAAACAGGUUUCUGUUUUAUUUCUGACCGCACCCAACAACCCUCCGCAUUAUUGACAAUAUUCAAACAGUAUGUAAUACCCUAAGAAUAUUUGCAGAUGAUGACAAAUUUAUUAGUGGCGUCUCCGAACAUAUCUAAGCUAUGCUAGAAUGAAGAUCUACCGUUUCAAAAAAGGAAAGAUUGGUUUAGUAAAAACAAGUUUAUACUGAAUAAACAAGAAACGACCGUUUUGAUUUUUAAAGCAAAACAAAACAAGGAAGCGACCCCAAAAGAAGUAAACCUCAACAAUUACAAGGUUAAAGUGUGUGUACAUAUUAAUGAAUUUUUAGACUUUUCAGAACACAUUGAACAUUUACAAGUUAAAUUAAAUAAAGCUUAUUUUUCUUCCUGUACAGUGGUAAAAUACCUAAAUGAAUGGAUUAGUAUUUUGAAAACUUUGAGUCCGCAGCUAGGCAUGGCAUUAUUUUCUGGGCAGCCAACUCUAAGAUAAGAAAUAUAUUUGUCAUUUAAAAAAAGGUAAUUAGAAUAAUAUUUAAGAUGCAGUAGUUAUAAUCUUGUAAAGCUAUUUUUAGAUCUAAGGGAAUUUCAACUGUGUAACUUAUUUAUAUUUGAAGAAGUGAUGUUUUUAUUUCAGAAUAGAGAUAAGUUUCCUACUUCUGUUGAUAAUGGGUUUAAUACUCGCACAUGUAAUAUUAACUACCCUAUACACAGACUUUCACUCUUUGAACAGAAUGCCUAAUAUAUGAGCAUAAAGUUAUUUAAUAAACUUCCACAUAAAAUAUAAACUAUAGGAAAUGAAGCGAAACAGGUUUAAACAGAAGGUGAAACUGAAAGGUGAUUACCUAAGCAUGUAAACUUAUAUGUAGUUAUGUCAGGGAGGUGUUUUUUUUACUAAAUAGACCUUUUUUGGUGAUAUCAUUUUAUUUUAUAUAAGUUUUCAUGUACAAUGUUACUUCAUAGUACGAAAUAAAGAAAUAUAUUAUUAUUAUUUCCUAAUAUAA